GUUGCUGCCUUUGGACUCACAUCUUCUGAACUUUGAUCAUCAUCAGAAAGGGAGGCAUUGCUACAAAAGUAUGAGUGAGGCACUUCUUUGGGAACUGUGAUGAUGCUGUAAAGUAGCAACAACAAGCAUAGCUGACACCUGCAAAGAUUUCUGCUCCUCUAUCAGUUGCAUGAAGAUGACUGGUUCCUUCAACUCCGAAGCUGGAAAUGUCUGAUUUCUUAGACACAAAGCUACAGGCUAAAGCCCGCAAAGCCCAGAGGAGUAUUUUAGAAUGAACACUGGAAACAAAAUGCAUAUAGCCCAAUAGCACUGAGAUGCAAGGAGCAGAUACGAGCCUACGAAACAGUUCCAAAGCAAUUUGAAAGUUCCAGUCAUUCACGUGUUUGCAAUACAAGUUUUAGGAAGAUACCAGCUGGGUGCUCUAGGAACAAGCUGUCUUAGUAACUCUGGUCCCUUCAGAAGCACAGCAAGCAGCCCGACUCACUGAAGAAAUCAGGAGCCAUUUAAAUUUCUCAGGUAGAGUGCUGAUGUUGU